GUAAGACAUGACUGCGUGACCAAUACUUUUCCUUUCUCUACUUGGAGCUGAAGAUAAUACGGGCCCCUCCAUUCUAGUCCAGGGGCAUCUGCCAUAAAAUUGGACUCAAUUUCUACUGCAUUUGACACCUGUCAGUCUUCAUUGUUUAAUAGUAACUGUUAUCCUUUUCUCUGGUUGAGUCUUUGUAGGUAUUCCAAUGGGAAUUAGGAGAGGCUACCAGCUGCUCGCUGCUUGCCUGUUAGAAGCUUAAAUUCUUCCCUUAAUUCAUGUGGUUCCUCUCUCUCUUAAUACCUAAAUCUUUCAUCUAUUUAGAAUUGAUUUUAGUAUUAGAGUUUUAAAUAAAGCAUGAAUCUAGCUAUUGUUUCCUCCAGAUAAUUGCCCUGUUGCAGAGUACCACUUAUUGAAUAAACUUCCCUUCCCCUAUGAUUUGCAAUAACAGUAAUAAUAGUGUAAGAAAAAAAAUUGGUAUCCCAUCCCAGAGAGUCCUCUGAAAUAAAUAAAAAGUAUGAUUGAGCUGUAGCCCUUCUUGAAAAAUGAUGACAGCUCCCACUAGAAGGACAUGUUUAUUAUGUGGGUGGACUCACCAGCGGAGCAAGAACAAAGCUUACUUAGGGUUCAAGACACCAGAGAGGGAUGAGAUGCCCUGUUAUUUGGAAAAAAUAUUUUCUCUUUUCCAUAUGGUUUAAACUGUAGUGAAGCUGAAAAUGAAAGUCCAUGUUGAGAGAUAAGCAUGUGUGUAAUCUAACAGGGUCACUGAUGAAAGGAACCGCUUUCCCUGGAGCUCUCAGGAAAGCUUAUAGUAAAGGAAAUGAGACCUAGAGGAUCCAAGUCCACUCCAGUUCAAAGGGCCCAGCUCUUCUAUAAGACAUGGGUGACAAAGGCGUCACUUAUCACUAGAAUACUAUCCCAGAGAGAAUCACUCAGACCGGAGGCACUAUAAAGGCCAGCCAGGGGUGAAUGGAGAUUCAGAGACUUGAAGAAGACGCCCACAGGGGAGGUGGUUUGUGAGCCAAAGGCCAGGAGAGCCAGCUUGGUGAUGUAGCCUUAGACCAAAAGGACAAGAUGGUGAUGGAUAGGAUCCUCCCUGGGUGUCUUCUUACUGGUUCCAGUGAGAAGGGGGCUCAGCCUGAUCGCUUUUGGUGAACGAUGUCAGAUUCGUGAUCUCCAAAGAAGAAGCUUUCGCUUCGGGACCAGGACCAGACUUGAUCACGCAAGAGCUUUUGUGUAGCAGAGUUUUAUUAGUAUAAAAAGGAGAGAGAACGCUUCUGACAUAGACAUCAGAAGGGGGACAGAGAGUGCCACCUCACUAGUCUUAGCAAGGGAGCUAUAUAAAAUUGGUUAUUACAGUAAAUCAGAAGAAUGUCUGAAGGUUG
ensembl:lncRNA